GAAGUUUGACCUUUCUUUAAUAUUUUAAUUCAAGUUUAUUUUAAAUAUUAAAAAUGCCAAAAAUAUUUUGUUCAUUUCUUGACUUCCAAUCUUCAUCUCACUUCUGUUUUUGAUUGUUUGACCAUGAUCCUCAAUGUCAUUGGUCAACACUUGUUGAUUGGUACAUUUUAUUUCAUUUAAUGCACUUUAUUCUUUCCUUUUCCAUUUUUCCAUUUUUCUUCUUCUUCUUCUUCUUCUUUCUUUUUGAUCAAUGAGUUAAAGGUUGAUAAGUUAGCAUUGAUUAGGGAGUUUUAAUCUUCCUUGAUUUCAUUCUAAUUCAUCUUGAUCAAAUG
rnacentral:lncRNA from 1 species